GAAGAAAGAGGGAGGAGGGAGGAAAAAAGGAAAGUAGAAUGGAAAGGCCCUGCUUUUGUGGGGUGCUCGAGUGGCGAACGGGUGAGUAACACGUGAGUAACCUGCCCUUGACUUUGGGAUAACUUCAGGAAACUGGGGCUAAUACCGGAUAGGAGCUCCUGCUGCAUGGUGGGGGUUGGAAAGUUUCGGCGGUUGGGGAUGGACUCGCGGCUUAUCAGCUUGUUGGUGGGGUAGUGGCUUACCAAGGCUUUGACGGGUAGCCGGCCUGAGAGGGUGACCGGCCACAUUGGGACUGAGAUACGGCCCAGACUCCUACGGGAGGCAGCAGUGGGGAAUAUUGCACAAUGGGCGGAAGCCUGAUGCAGCAACGCCGCGUGCGGGAUGACGGCCUUCGGGUUGUAAACCGCUUUCGCCUGUGACGAAGCGUGAGUGACGGUAAUGGGUAAAGAAGCACCGGCUAACUACGUA
rnacentral:rRNA from 1 species